rnacentral:rRNA from 1 species
AUUGAACGCUGGCGGCAUGCUUUACACAUGCAAGUCGAACGGGGUUGGGAGCUUGCUUCCAAUCUAGUGGCGAACGGGUGAGUAAUACAUCGGAACGUACCGUGUAGUGGGGGAUAACGUAGCGAAAGUUACGCUAAUACCGCAUACGAUCCACGGAUGAAAGCAGGGGACCUUCGGGCCUUGUGCUAUACGAGCGGCCGAUGUCUGAUUAGCUAGUUGGUGAGGUAAAGGCUCACCAAGGCGACGAUCAGUAGCGGGUCUGAGAGGAUGAUCCGCCACACUGGGACUGAGACACGGCCCAGACUCCUACGGGAGGCAGCAGUGGGGAAUUUUGGACAAUGGCGCAAGCCUGAUCCAGCCAUGCCGCGUGUCUGAAGAAGGGCCUUCGGGUUCGUAAGGACUUU